AGCAGCCGCGGUAAUUCCAGCUCCAAUAGCGUAUAUUAAAGUUGUUGCAGUUAAAAAGCUCGUAGUUGAAUUUCGGGGUCAGUAGGCUGGUCAUGCCACCGGUAUGUACUGGUCUUACUGAUUCCUCCUUCCUGACGAACCGUAAUGCCAUUAAUUUGGUGUUGCGGGGAAUUUGGACUGUUACUUUGAAAAAAUUAGAGUGUUUAAAGCAGGCUAACGCUUGAAUACAUUAGCAUGGAAUAAUGGAAUAGGACGUUCGAUCCUAUUUUGUUGGUUUCUAGGAUUGACGUAAUGAUUAAUAGGGAUAGUUGGGGGCAUUAGUAUUCAAUUGUCAGAGGUGAAAUUCUUGGAUUUAUUGAAGACUAACUACUGCGAAAGCAUUUGCCAAGGAUGUUUUCAUUAAUCAAGAACGAAAGUUAGGGGAUCGAAGACGAUCAGAUACCGUCGUAGUCUUAACCAUAAACUAUGCCGACUAGGGAUCGGACGAUGUUAAUUUUUUAAUGUACUCAUUCGGCGCCUU
rnacentral:rRNA from 1 species